rnacentral:rRNA from 1 species
ACGUAGGAGGCAAGCGUUAUCCGGAUUUACUGGGCGUAAAGGGCGUGCAGGCGGUUGGCUAAGUGCGUUGUGAAAGCUCCCGGGCUUAACCGGGCGAGGGCAUUGAAGACUGGUCAGCUAGAGGACGGUAGAGGGGAGUGGAAUUCCGGGUGCAGCGGUGAAAUGCGUAGAGAUCCGGAGGAACACCAGAGGCGAAGGCGACACCCUGGGCCGUACCUGACGCUAAGACGCGAAAGCAUGGGGAGCGGACGG